rnacentral:rRNA from 1 species
UACGUAGGGGGCAAGCGUUGUCCGGAAUUAUUGGGCGUAAAGCGCGCGCAGGCGGUUUCUUAAGUCCGAUGUAUACGCCCGGGGCUCAACCCCGGGAGGCAUGGGAAACUGAGAGGCUUGAGUGCAGAAGAGGAGAGUGGAAUUCCACGUGUAGCGGUGAAAUGCGUAGAUAUGUGGAGGAACACCAGUGGCGAAGGCGACUCUCGGGGCUGUAACUGACGCUGAGGCGCGAAAGCGUGGGGAGCAAACAGG